UUCUUAAUGUCCUUUCUGUGUACAUGACAUUUCCCCAUCUUACUCCAAGGAUAGAAAACGGAUGAACCCAUCACCUAGGAACUUAUAGGGGUACCUGCUGUUUCACACAACCCCAAAGAAAUGAGAUCAAGGUCUCGAGGCACACCCCAUUUUAUUGCACUCUGUAGAUACUGCAUCUUUUAUACACUGAAGGCUCAUAGCACCCCUUCUCUUGCAGGCCCUUCGGGGCCAUUUUUCCAACAGCACUGGCUCACUUCGCAUCUCUGUGUCACAUUCUGGCCAUGCUCACAACAGUUCCAGCUUUCCCGUUGUAUCUGUCCUAGUGAUCUGUCAUCAGUGAUCUGUGAUGUUCUUAUCGUAAUUGUUUUGGGGACCCCAUGGACAGAGCCCAUGUAAGAUGAGAAACUUAAUCAGUAAAUGUUAUAUGUGCAGUCUGACUGCCGAUGAGGUAGAAACAGCAGAAGACCUAGAAUCUGAAGUGGAGCCUGAAGAUGGGACUGCACUGUGGAAAUCUCGAGAUCAAACUUCAGUGCAUGAGGAGUUGUUUCUUAUGGGUGAGCAAAGAAAGUGGUUCCUUUCUUUUCUUUUUCUUUCUCCUCCUCCUCCUCCCCCUCCUUCUCCUCCUUCUCCUCAAUCUUCUCCUUCUUCUUUGUACAGAAAAUGAUUUCCUAAGAUGGCAUCUAGUCCUGGUGAAGAUGCUGUGAGGAUUGUUGACAUGACGACAGAUUUAGACUAUCACAGCAACUGCAGUCGAUAAAGGAGCGGCAGGGGAUGAGAGGACUGACUCCAGUUUUGAAAGGAGUUCUACUGUGGUCAAAAUGCGGUCGAACACUGUCGCAGGCUGUAGGGAAGUCGUUCGUGAAAGGAAGAGUCCACUCAUGUGGCAACUUCAUCGUUUUAUUUUAAGACAUUGCUGCCCCAACCUUCAGCAACCGCCACCGUGAUCAGCCAGUGUCAUCAGCACGGAGGCAAGCCCAACCACCAGCAAAAAGGUUACGACUUGCUGAAAGUUCAUACAACACAGACUUUCAGCAACGACAUCCUGCCAUGAGCUGAAAAUCUGGUUGGCACUCCUGAGGACAUGUCAGCUUGCAGCUUCAUUCCCUUGAAGGCAUCCACAAUUUUUUAUGAAACACAAAAAUUUAAAAAGACAAGAUUCCAACCUUUUUCUCCUCCACCAGAAAACAGAGCUUCCUCCCCACCUGGUUGUAUCGGGCAUCCUUUGCAACAGUAACGCGGACGGGCGGACCUCAGGGGCCUCUCUUUCCCACAGGCUAAGCUACGCUUAGGACAGAGGUGGAGUGGAAGAACACAGCAGAAACACGCCUGCACGUCUUUUCAAGCCUCCGCAUGCAUCAGGUUUGCUAACAUCCCACUGGUCAAAGCAGCCCCAUGGCUGAGUGCGAAGUCAAAGCAGGAGGGCUCCACCGGUAACAUCAACAGAAGAAGGCAAGAAUUCGGGCCACCCACGUCAUCCGCAACCACAGGGGUCCUGGUCACAUUAUAGAGCCAGUGCUGGUACUUUCUGAACCCCCAGUCGGGUUUCACGAGGACUUUUAUGCUCUCCCAAGUGAGAAACCACAUCCUGGGAAGAGUGGCCUAUAGGGCAAAAGGUGGUCAUUUCUCAGACAUUCUGAUGGUGAGUUCCAGGUAACCCAAGAAUCACCUGGAAGAAGAGUUAUACACUAUUCCGAAAAUCAGGAGGGACAGUCACCAACAAAUCAAGUACCAAAGCACCUCUGAACAAUGGUUGAACGUUGCAGACAAAGCUAGAAUAGACUCUUAUUUACUGCCUAUAAACACCUAACAAGAGUGAUUGCAACAAGUGCAAACAUUUAGUCAGCACUUACUGUGUUUGGGCUUCGGGCUGAGUACUGUCUCUGAGUUAUUCCUCUUAAUUUUGAUAACAAACCAGUGCAGUAGAUAUUAGGACGAUGAUGCCUAUUUUCCAGAUGUGCAAACUAAGGCCAGGGGUUGAACAACUGGCCAAGAACCCACAGAGUAAAAGGAAGACCCAGAACUAGAACCCAGGCCCACAGGGUUCUACAGAUGGUGUUUCUUACCACUACCCUAGACCAUCCCUGUCUUCAUUCACGAAGCAAUCUGCAAAGCAUGUCAAAGAAACCAAGAAUGCUGUUUGUCAGCCGACUGCCGUGAUGGGCACAGUUCAAACAGCUGAGAUUGGGGUUCUUCAAUUAAAUCGCCAUCGCGUCAAGGAAGCCUUGAUAAGCAUGAAAGACUGCCCUCUGCUGUGGGUUUUCAUUAGUGCACCAAGGCUUGGCAUGGGAGCUGCUGGGCCGGCAGUGCACCAAAGUCCAGGAAUCCUGAAGGGCCUAUGGCACUGGAAGACAUGGACUUCUUGAAUUCUGUCCCCCCAAAAUGGGAAGAACAACCCUACGGGGUUCUCAGCCAAAUGAAGAAUUCUAGAGGAGAGGCUGGGACUGGGAGGGGAGGUAUUGCUACAAAAUGAUACGCUCGUAUCCCUGCCUACCCAACCUUGCAUUCAGUGAAGAGCCUGCAGGAAGAAUAAAGGCUGGUUCACUUAGUGUCCCUAUUCCUUUCAGAUGGGCAACAAAUUAUUAACAAAACUCCAAAGUCAUGAGCUGAAGGAAUCAGCAAGAGGCAGAUGAAAGGUAAGUCGGUUCCUCUUUCCACAGUUAAAAUGCUGGGCAAACUCCAAGAGAUCACUGUGAUGAUUACCAGUCUCUGCAGGUACUGGGGACAGGAGGAGGACUGUACACUGCAU